ACAUUUUUAUAUUAUUAUAAAUUGAAAGAAAAUUAAUAAUUUUCAGCAUGCUCCAAACAUUAGAAAAUAAUUUUCCUUUACUUUUCAGCAUUGCAGCUAAAUAAUGGAAAAUAAGAUGUUAUUUUUCUUCAAAAACAUUUUUCAUAGGCAAGUUAUUUUCCAAACAACAAAUGAAGCCUUAAUACUGACAAAUUUAUUUAGUUUAUUGCAUGCUGCUCAACAUAUUAAUAAAACAUAAACAUACUAUUGAGCAAUUAUGCUUCAGAAAGUGGGAUUUGAACUAUAAGAAAGCAUAUAUAUUAUUGAAUUGAUUGCUUUUGGUUAUAAAUUUGUAAAUAUUGUAAUUAGGCUCAUUUUGGUUUUCCCUUUAUCAAGAAUUCGAAGACUAACAAGAAAGUUCCCCAGAAAUUGCCUUCUAAUCUGAUUGGAUGGCAGCAAUAUCUACUUGCAAAAUGCAAUUGGGUUAUGAAAUUCUCAGUUCAAACCCAACAAGCAUUUUGAGAUUUGUUGGCUAACAUAACUGUAAAUAUGUAACAAAUAGGCGCACAUAUAACUUAAAAAAGAAAAAGGGAAUAAACAGGCCUUUAAGGCCAUUUCUUCAAAAGCAUAAUAAUUUAAGCCUUACCAGCCUUCAGGGAUGAAAAGUG
rnacentral:misc_RNA from 1 species